rnacentral:rRNA from 1 species
UACAGGGGGAGCAAGCGUUGUUCGGAAUUACUGGGCGUAAAGGGCCAGUAGGCGGCCAACUAAGUCACACGUGAAAUCCCCAGGCUUAACCUGGGAACUGCGUGUGAUACUGGAUGGCUUGAAUUCGGGAGAGGGAUGCAGAAUUCCAGGUGUAGCGGUGAAAUGCGUAGAUAUCUGGAGGAAUACCGGUGGCGAAGGCGGCAUCCUGGACCGACAUUGACGCUGAACGGCGAAAGCUAGGGGAGCAAACGGG